rnacentral:rRNA from 1 species
UACGAAGGGGGCUAGCGUUGUUCGGAAUUACUGGGCGUAAAGGGCGCGUAGGCGGUUUGACAAGUCUGAUGUGAAAUCUAUGGGCUCAACCCAUAGCCUGCAUUAGAAACUGUCGGGCUUGAGUAUGGGAGAGGUGAGUGGAAUUUCCGGUGUAGCGGUGAAAUGCGUAGAUAUCGGAAGGAACACCUGUGGCGAAAGCGGCUCACUGGACCAUAACUGACGCUGAGGCGCGAAAGCUAGGGGAGCAAACAGG